UACGGAGGGUGCAAACGUUGCUCGGAAUCAUUGGGCGUAAAGCGCACGUAGGCGGUCCGUUAUGUCGGGUGUGAAAGCCCUCGGCUUAACCGAGGAAGUGCAUUCGAAACUGGCGGACUUGAGUACCGGAGAGGGUCGCGGAAUUCCCGGUGUAGAGGUGAAAUUCGUAGAUAUCGGGAGGAACACCAGUGGCGAAGGCGGCGACCUGGACGGAUACUGACGCUGAGGUGCGAAAGCGUGGGGAGCGAACAGG
rnacentral:rRNA from 1 species